rnacentral:lncRNA from 1 species
GCUCGCUGGCCAGCCGUGCGCCGUCCUCCCUCGCCGCGAAGUGCCGGGGGUCCGCAGCUCCAAACAGGCUGCACGCGGAGGGGGGGGCGGCAGAGCUGGGGCCGCUGGGGCCGGCCGCCCGGAGGCUCUCUUUGGGUUUCGCCUUCAGCUUCUUCUUGCUGCCGCCCUCCUCGCAGCCGCCCGCUUUGCGCCGUGCCGGCACCUUCUCCAGCUUGCCAGCCCCCGGCUUGCCCGGCCGCCGCUUGAUCUUCACCUCGCCCUCAGGGCUGCCCAGGAGGCACGGUCCUAGCAGCCCCUGCCUUUCCUUCUUCUUCUUCGCCUUCUCGUUGGCUUCCAU